UUCUUCUUUAUAGCUUCUAUUUCUUUGCUGAGACAUUCUAUUUUAUCCUGUGUUUCAAGAGUGCUUGUAAUUAUUCAUUGAAGCAUUUUUAUCAUGGCUGUUUUAAGAAUUAUUGUCAAACUUCUCAAAUAAUUCUAACAUCCCUGUCAUCUUGGUAUUGGCAUCUACUGAUUGUCUUUUUUCAUUCAACUUGAGAUUUUCCUGGUUCUUGAUAUGAUGAGUGAUUUUCUCUUGAAAUAUGGACAUUUUUCCUAUAUAAGACUCUGGAUCUUACUGAAUCUUUCUGUUUCAGCUUCCAGUCACUGACAUGGCUCUGGCGGGGAAACAGGGGAGGUGCUGUUGCUGUCCCGGCACUUCCAGGUGUAGAUGCAGGUUCCUCGCUUGGUUCUCCUGACACCUGAGGAUGACAUAGCACAAAGGCCUUUGCCAGACGCCAUCACCAUACUCUUGGACUUCUUAGCCUCCAGAAUUGUGAGUCAAAUAAAUUUCCGUUCAUUACAAAUUA